UGCAAGUUUGUGUGCAAGGCAGUGAACUGGAAAGAUAGGGCAAAAUGACUAUAGGCGCGGGUACGCCUACACUGCCCAGGUGUGGAAAAGUGCAGGGCUGAGGGCACUCAUUUCUGUGACAGUGCGCACGUCCCGCGCUUUUACGCACGGUCUCUUUGCAGUAAUGCAUAAACGUUGUUUUGGUGUUAUGACACUUGCUUACUCGAUAUUUUACAACUAAUAAAAAAUAAGAAAUUAAAGAUGUUUACAUUUGGUUUAUGGCUAGAGCUUGUGAUAAAGCGAAUUAGAAUUCCAUUCCGAUUCUAAACAAUGUGUAAUGACGUAUUCCAUCUCUAUGCGACCGAGAGGGUCACAAUACCGACGCUUCACAUGGAACUCCAGAACCCAAGAGAUAUGUUCAGAACUCUCAAAAAAUCUUCAGUUCUUGAUCGACAAACAACGAGAGAGACAGCAUUAUUAUGGCGAGCUUUUCAUUCAUCUUCCCUGAAGACAGACAUUGUUCCGUUAAGGACAACGAAGUCAAUUCAGGGUGGAUGUCAAUGGUGACCCAGCUCAACGCCCUUGGCGGUCCAGAGUCAGAGAGUCAGAAGUUCCGUCAGAGCUUUGCAGAGGAACUUGGUGACAAGUACCACUACUCGAAUGCCAUCGACAGCUCUCUGCUCUGGACUGUUGGGUACACCCCCUACAUUCCCGCAGCUCUGAAAGGAAGAAGCUUCCCCUCUGUCGAGAGCUUCUUCCUGGAUGAGUGGGAGCCACUGACACUCCUGCAGACUCCUCAGGUUCUGUCCACCAGUGUUUCCAUCGAGGAAGACAACCUGAUCCAGUCUGCUGCAGGCCUAGUGUCUCAGGUUCUGUCCACCAGUGUUGCUAUCGUGGAGAAUGACCUGAUCCAGUCUGCUGCAGGCCUAGUGUCUCAGGUUCUCCCCACCAGUGUUGCUAUCGUGGAGAAUGACCUGAUCCAGUCUGCUGCAGGCCUAGUGUCUCAGGUUCUGUCCACCAGUGUUGCUAUCGUGGAGAGUGACCUGAUCCAGUCUGCUGCAGGCCUAGUUUCUCAGGUUCUGUCCACCAGUGUUGCCAUCGUGGAGAAUGACCUGAUCCAGUCUGCUGCAGGCCUAGUGUCUCAGGUUCUGUCCACCAGUGUUACCAUCGUGGAGAAUGACCGGAUCCAGUCUGCUGCAGGCCUAGUGUCUCAGGUUCUGUCCACCAGUGUUUCCAUUGUGGAGAAUGACCGGAUCCAGUCUGCUGCAGGCCUAGUGUCUCAGGUUCUGUCCACCAGUGUUUCCAUCGUGGAGAAUGACCUGAUCCAGUCUGCUGCAGGCGUAGUGUCUCAGGUUCUGUCCACCAGUGUUGCCAUCGUGGAGAGUGACCUGAUCCAGUCUGCUGCAGGCCUAGUGUCUCAGGAGCUGUCCAGCAGUGAUGCUAGAGUGAAGGAUCGUGAUGAUUCCACACUGAGAGACUCCAACCAACCUGAGGUCCAUGUGGCUGAUGUCUCAACCAAGAGAAGUAGACUAGUCAUCACUAUUUCUAUGUUUUCAACCGAGAGUUGCAAUGCUUCGGUCCAUGAAGUUGAUGCUAUUGCUACCAGCCUGGAGCACUCUGCUGAGAAAAUGUCUACCUCUACCGCUGAUGGCCACAUUGUUUCAUCCACUGCUGUUGCCAAUCAGAAGAAAACAAGGGGUGGAUUCGUCUCAGCUCUUCGGAGAUUGUUUACGAGAAAGAACAGGAAGCCUGCUAAAGUGGCUUCCAAGAAGGAGCACAUUCACUUGGUUGACCGCCUCAAUGCUGAAGUCACCCACUGAGGACACUCACUCAUUGCUGAAAGCAUCCAGAAUGAUGCUUCUGUUUCUCCUCAGCGCCACCUACACCCCUGCCCCUCUCCCCCACACCAAACCCUACCAGGGUUGGGGUGAAAUCCAGAUCAAUUCAGUCAAUUCAGGAAGUAAACUGAAAUUCCAAUUCCAAUUGUUUCUCAUAGGAGGCAAUGAGGUAAAUUUGAAUUGCUAUUGGAAUUUCAGUUUAUUUACUGAAUUGACUGAAUUGAAAAUGAAUUGACCCCAACCCUGAUCCCUAAGCCCCCACCCCAUCCAUUUCUAUCUUCAGUAAAUUUUGUAGAAUUUUAUUUGAAUGUGUUUUGUAUCUUCAUUAAAACCACAAUACAUCUCUAAUGAGGGUCACUCAUGUUACACAUCUAGAUUUAUCCUCAAAUAUCGUAGAAUUCAACAAAUGCAGUGGUUUAGCAGUUCAACUUCAGUACUUGUCAAUGAGUCAUUGCACUGUGACCUUCAGAAACAUGUAACAUUGUGGAACAAUUGAAAACUUUUGCUGACAUUCUGUUACAAUGUAACUACACUGAACGAAAAUAUUAACGCAACAUGUAAAGUGUUGGUCCCAUGUUUCAUGAGCUGAAAUAAAAUCCCAGAAGUGUUCCAUAUGCACAAAAAGGUUAUUUCUCUCAAAUGUUGUGUUUACAUCCCUAUUAUUGAGCAUUUCUCCUUUGCCAAGAUAAUCCAUCCACCUGACAGGUGUGGCAUAUCAAGAAGCUGAUUAAACAUUAUGGUCAUUACACAGGUGCAUCUUGUACUGGGGAAGAUAAGAGGCCACUUUAAAAUGAGCCGUUUUGUCACACAACACAUUGCCACAGAUGUCGGAAGUUUUGAGGGAGCGUGCAAUUGGCAUGCUGACUGCGGAAAUGUUCACCAGAGUCGUUGCUAGAGAAUUCAAUGUUCAUUUCUUUACCAUAAGCUGUUUCCAAUGUGGUUUUAGCGAAUUUGGCAGACCACACUAGGGGCUGAGAAGUAUUUCUGUCUGUAAUAAAGCCCGUUUGUAGGGAACAACUCAUUCUGAUUGGCUGGGCCUGGCUCCCCAGUGGGUGGGUCUGGCUGCCAGGUGGGUGGGCCUAUGCCAUCCAAGGCCCACCCAUGGCUACACCCCUGCCCAGUCAUGUGAAAUCCAUGGACCUAAUGCAUUUAUUUCAAUUGUCUGAUUUCCCUAUGUGAACUGCACCUAAAGUAAAAUCUUUCAAAUUGUUGCAUGUUGUGUUUAUAUUUCUGUCUGCACAUUUUCUUGAGAAUUACAUGCAUUCUCACUCAUAACCUCUAGAAUAAGAAAUCAAAACAGACUCAACGUAAUAUAUUAAAGGAAUGAAAAGGGCUUUAUUCAACUGUGGCUCCUGAAGUCCCUGCACACAUUUACAUUUACAAGGUUUCAUCUUCACUGAGGACAAUCUCAGUAUUUGAUUUUUGCCGAAACAAUCAAGCAGAGACAAUGAAAAGCAAAUAAAUAAACAAAUAGAACAAACCAAACAAAAACACAGUCCCCACAUGACACAUGACACAUGACACAUGACAUGACACACGACACAAGACAUGACACAUAGCCCAAGAACCAUAUUGGUGCGUUUUUCCUAAUCAGAUGAUUACUGAUUGUGUUUGUUAUUAUAAGUUCACUGUAAUGUCCAGCGUGGUAAUAAACUAACAUGGUAAUGUAAUGUACAUGUUGUCUACUAGUCUGUAUGUACUAUCAACACUCUGGACAGUGAGCUAUGGUUUUGUGGUUGAAGGUUUAUGUGUAUAACUAGAUCUACUGUAUGGGACAACAAAAAGUACAUAUGAAUAGGGAGUUUAAGCAUUUGUAUAGUGACACGGCCUAUAAACACAAAUGAAAACACAUAUCAACACAGCCUUAUAAAUACUAAUAAAAACAUAGGCUGAAUAAUACUGAAAACUUUUGUCAAUCAACAAAGGAAGAUUAUCGAUGUGCUUUUCUGAAAACAACAACUUAUUCCCUAAAAGUACAUUUUAUUUACAUCUUCAUUUGGACUAAAUAUAAAAAUAUGUACAUUAGAGAAACAAGUAUAGUAUGUGAAUGUGUCUUCGUAUGUUUCCAGUUUGUGUUAUCAUUAUAUACACUCUAUAAUCUCAGCCCAAAAACAGAGAUCUUUUAAUACUGUAUAACACAAUGUUAUAAUGACUAGGACUGCAUUGUGAAAAGUGCCUAAAACCAAAACAUCACUACCGUACUUCAAAAGCACCUAUAGGGAGAAUAACAGUUAUUGCAUUAACACAAUAGGAAAUAAUUAUGAUGUUUGCUUCUCUUUUAAACAAUGUUGGUACUACGUAGGUAAUGGUUGGUACUACAUUCGUAAUGGUUAGUACUACGUUGGUACUGACAUUCACAACUACCUGUUUCUAUUGCAGAACUCAAUACAGGACCGUGUACAUGCAACUACAAACUGCUUGUCAUCAGCAAUCAGCACUGAGUGAUUUCCACAGUAUCACUCUCACAGUCUUCAAGUCCUCCAUUUUGGCUCUGUACAUUGUCCAUGUGUCCCAGUGCCGUGCCGUUAGUGGACUCCUGACUCAGGGGCGGGCAACUGACGUUACGCUCCAGUUCUGGGUUCAGACAGAGGAAAGUCUGGUUCUUAUCGUUAUUAUUGCUGUUGUUACUAGUAGUGGUGGUGACUACCGACUCGCUAAAGAUAGUGUCUGAGAAGACAGAGUCUAGGUUGAACUGGGUCCCGCUGAAGAGGGAUUCCUGGCAGGUGGAUUUGGGCCGAUUGGUGGCUAUCGCUGGGUCUCUGGGGGGUUUGCUUGGGGGUGGUGGUUGAUUAUCAGAGUCUGGUUCUUCUGGAUUGUUCUGCUUGUUCUGAUUCUGAUUACCCGUGUCCAUCUCCUGAUUUGGGCUCCCAUCAGAUUCCAUGAUAGGUAAGGGAUCUACUUUCGCCAUCACCCUAGUGUCACUGUUGACACUGGAUCGUCGAGAGGAACCCUCGGCUGUUGAGAUGACGCUACUGGCCCGGGGUAGAGCGGUAGGAGACCAUGGUCCUCUUAGACGCACCUCCUUCCCCAAUGGGGUGGAGAAGCAGUUAAGACACCCAGACACCGAGGAAGAUUUACCCUGGACGUAGAGCACCGUGAUCGGGGACAUGGCUGAGGCUCGGGUGGUGGUGGUCUCUGGAGCUUUGUUCAGACCUAAUCCAGAUCGAGAUAGUACGGCAACCUGCCCCUGAGCUGUUUUGGGGACAUUCCCAUUGGAAGGGCGCUGGGGGGCUCUGCUGCCGCUGGCGCACCUCCUGAGGACACUCCUGGGCCAGGGGUCCUGGGUGCUACCCACCUCCCUCCCCCUACAGGGAACUGAACCCUGGGUGUUUGCUAUGGCAAUAGGUGAAGAGUCCUUCACUCCUACCAUCUCUCUGUGUUUGUUGCUGCUGGUGUGUGUUGAGGAAGUGGAUCGCUGCUGUGCGUGUGUGGUUGGCGAGGGGUUCUGCCGUGUGUGUCGGGGGGUGGAGGUAUCGCUAGGCGGGAGGCAGGAGGAAGAGGAGCGGCGUGAUGAAGGAGGCGGCUGGACCGGGCUACUGCCGUUGGACCAGGGUUCGUUGUCUUGGCUGAGGCUGAACUCUCCGCUGCUCUGGCUCUGGGCACGGCUCGGCACGCCAUUCAGACCUGGGGGAACCGCGGAUGGAGAGAACGUCUCUUUAGGUUACUCCAACAGCAGGCUACACUCUUGAUUACAACUGUCCGGAAAAUGUAUGCAUUUUCACAAUGUAUUAUAAACACCUUUUAUGUAAAAUAAACAUAGCAUAGGCAACAAUAUAAGCUAGUAAAUGCACGUUAUAUCAUUAUUUCUGCCUAUAGAGGGCAGUAUUAUCAAGCUGUUCAGACUAAUGCCUACUUUGAGCAAAAUAAGAGAUUCACUUGAAAAAAGGCCAUGUUAACAGUUAUAUUGAUUUAUUCAUCAUUUUAACUCCUUAUAAAUCCGUAUACAUGGUCUGCAUCCCAAAUGGCACCCUAUUCUCUACAUAGGGCUCUGGUCAAAAGUAGUGCACUGUGUACUGAAUAGGGUGCCAUUUGGGAACCCUCAAAUAAUGAGUUAGCGGGAUGUUGUUUACCAUGGUUUUGUAGUUCAUCACCGUCGUCAAAGUCAGUCGCCACAGCACUGUCAUUAUAAUCCUUGUCUGUGCAACACAAAAUGGCAGGG
rnacentral:lncRNA from 8 species